UGACUGCUAUCGGAUUGAUACUAAGCCAUGCGAGUCAUUGUAGCAAUACAAGGCGGACGGCUCAGUAACACGUAGUCAACCUAACCUAUGGACGUGGAUAACCUCGGGAAACUGAGAAUAAACCACGAUAGAUCAUGAUGCCUGGAAUGGCUUAUGGUUCAAACAAUUUAUUGCCGUAGGAUGGGACUGCGGCCUAUCAGCUUGUUGGUGAGGUAAUGGCCCACCAAGGCUAUAACAGGUACGGGCUCUGAGAGGAGAAGCCCGGAGAUGGGUACUGAGACACGGACCCAGGCCCUAUGGGGCGCAGCAGGCGAGAAACCUUAGCAAUGUGCGAAAGCACGACUAGGUUAAUCCGAGUGGUUCCUGCUAAAGGAACCUUUUGUCAGUCAUAAAACCACAGACGAAUAAGGGGUGGGCAAGUCUGGUGUCAGCCGCCGCGGUAAUACCAGCACCUCGAGUGGUCAGGAGGUUUAUUGGGCCUAAAGCAUCCGUAGCCGGCUACGCAAGUCUUCGGUUAAAUCCAACUGCUCAACAGAUGGGCUGCCGGAGAUACUACAUAGCUAGGGAGCGGGAGAGGCAGACGGUAUUCGGUGGGUAGGGGUAAAAUCCACUGAUCCAUCGAGGACCACCAGUGGCGAAGGCGGUCUGCCAGAACGCGUUCGACGGUGUGGGAUGAAAGCUGGGGGAGCAAACCGGAUUAGAUACCCGGGUAGUCCCAGCUGUAAACGAUGCAAACUCGGUGAUGCGUUGGCUUAUGGCCAACGUAGUGCCGCAGGGAAGCCGUUAAGUUUGCCGCCUGGGAAGUACGGACGCAAGUUCUGAAACUUAAAGGAAUUGGCGGGG
rnacentral:rRNA from 1 species